UACGUAGGGGGCAAGCGUUGUCCGGAUUUAUUGGGCGUAAAGAGCGUGUAGGCGGCCAUACAGGUCCGUUGUGAAAACUGGAGGCUUAACCUCCAGACGUCGAUGGAAACCGUAUGCUAGAGUCCGGAAGAGGAGAGUGGAAUUCCUGGUGUAGCGGUGAAAUGCGCAGAUAUCAGGAAGAACACCCGUGGCGAAGGCGGCUCUCUGGGACGGUACUGACGCUGAGACGCGAAAGCGUGGGGAGCAAACAGG
rnacentral:rRNA from 1 species